GACGAACGCUGGCGGCGUGCUUAACACACGCAAGUCGAACGCUGAAGCUCAGCUUUUGUUGGGUGGAUGAGUGGCGAACGGGUGAGUAACACGUGAGUAACCUGCCUCCUUCUUUGGGAUAACGCCCGGAAACGGGUGCUAAUACUGGAUAUUCACUGGUCUUCGCAUGGGGGUUGGUGGAAAGGGUUUUUCUGGUGGGGGAUGGGCUCGCGGCCUAUCAGCUUGUUGGUGGGGUGAUGGCCUACCAAGGCUUUGACGGGUAGCCGGCCUGAGAGGGUGACCGGUCACAUUGGGACUGAGAUACGGCCCAGACUCCUACGGGAGGCAGCAGUGGGGAAUAUUGCACAAUGGGCGCAAGCCUGAUGCAGCGACGCCGCGUGAGGGAUGGAGGCCUUCGGGUUGUGAACCUCUUUCGCUCAUGGUCAAGCCGCAACAAUGGUUGUGGUGAGGGUAGUGGGUAAAGAAGCGCCGGCUAACUACGUG
rnacentral:rRNA from 1 species